CUCGGUGGUCAUAGCGGAGGGGAAACACCCGGUCCCAUUCCGAACCCGGAAGUUAAGCCCUCCAGCGCCGAUGGUACUGCAGGGGAGGCCCUGUGGGAGAGUAGGACACUGCCGGAC
rnacentral:rRNA from 1 species